UGCAGUCGAACGAACUCUGGUAUUGAUUGGUGCUUGCAUCAUGAUUUACAUUUGAGUGAGUGGCGAACUGGUGAGUAACACGUGGGAAACCUGCCCAGAAGCGGGGGAUAACACCUGGAAACAGAUGCUAAUACCGCAUAACAACUUGGACCGCAUGGUCCGAGCUUGAAAGAUGGCUUCGGCUAUCACUUUUGGAUGGUCCCGCGGCGUAUUAGCUAGAUGGUGGGGUAACGGCUCACCAUGGCAAUGAUACGUAGCCGACCUGAGAGGGUAAUCGGCCACAUUGGGACUGAGACACGGCCCAAACUCCUACGGGAGGCAGCAGUAGGGAAUCUUCCACAAUGGACGAAAGUCUGAUGGAGCAACGCCGCGUGAGUGAAGAAGGGUUUCGGCUCGUAAAACUCUGUUGUUAAAGAAGAACAUAUCUGAGAGUAACUGUUCAGGUAUUGACGGUAUUUAACCAGAAAGCCACGGCUAACUACGUGCCAGCAGCCGCGGUAAUACGUAGGUGGCAAGCGUUGUCCGGAUUUAUUGGGCGUAAAGCGAGCGCAGGCGGUUUUUUAAGUCUGAUGUGAAAGCCUUCGGCUCAACCGAAGAAGUGCAUCGGAAACUGGGAAACUUGAGUGCAGAAGAGGACAGUGGAACUCCAUGUGUAGCGGUGAAAUGCGUAGAUAUAUGGAAGAACACCAGUGGCGAAGGCGGCUGUCUGGUCUGUAACUGACGCUGAGGCUCGAAAGUAUGGGUAGCAAACAGGAUUAGAUACCCUGGUAGUCCAUACCGUAAACGAUGAAUGCUAAGUGUUGGAGGGUUUCCGCCCUUCAGUGCUGCAGCUAACGCAUUAAGCAUUCCGCCUGGGGAGUACGGCCGCAAGGCUGAAACUCAAAGGAAUUGACGGGGGCCCGCACAAGCGGUGGAGCAUGUGGUUUAAUUCGAAGCUACGCGAAGAACCUUACCAGGUCUUGACAUACUAUGCAAAUCUAAGAGAUUAGACGUUCCCUUCGGGGACAUGGAUACAGGUGGUGCAUGGUUGUCGUCAGCUCGUGUCGUGAGAUGUUGGGUUAAGUCCCGCAACGAGCGCAACCCUUAUUAUCAGUUGCCAGCAUUAAGUUGGGCACUCUGGUGAGACUGCCGGUGACAAACCGGAGGAAGGUGGGGAUGACGUCAAAUCAUCAUGCCCCUUAUGACCUGGGCUACACACGUGCUACAAUGGAUGGUACAACGAGUUGCGAACUCGCGAGAGUAAGCUAAUCUCUUAAAGCCAUUCUCAGUUCGGAUUGUAGGCUGCAACUCGCCUACAUGAAGUCGGAAUCGCUAGUAAUCGCGGAU
rnacentral:rRNA from 1 species